GAAUAAGCACCGGCUAACUACGUGCCAGCAGCCGCGGUAAUACGUAGGGUGCGAGCGUUAAUCGGAAUUACUGGGCGUAAAGCGUGCGCAGGCGGUUUGUUAAGACAGAGGUGAAAUACCCCGGGCUCAACCUGGGAACUGCCUUUGUGACUGCAAGGCUAGAGUACGGCAGAGGGGAGUGGAAUUCCGCGUGUAGCAGUGAAAUGCGUAGAUAUGCGGAGGAACACCGAUGGCGAAGGCAAUCCCCUGGGCCUGUACUGACGCUCAUGCACGAAAGCGUGGGGAGCAAACAGGAUUAGAUACCCUGGUAG
rnacentral:rRNA from 1 species